rnacentral:rRNA from 1 species
GACACAGCCGAGUUGUCCGCCUUACGGUGUGCACGGCUUGGCUGGGUCUUUCCUUCUGGGAACCAGCGUGCUCUUAACUGAGUGCGUUUGGGGAUCCAGAACUUUUACUUUGAAAAAAUUAGAGUGUUUAAAGCAGGCUUACGCUUGAAUACAUUAGCAUGGAAUAAUGAAAUAGGACGUUCGAUCCUAUUUUGUUGGUUUCUAGGAUUGACGUA